AGAAGAUGAGCACAUAUAUAUUAGCACUUAUAUUUAUCAGUUUCUUUAAUUUGAUGGCGUCAUUGAAGGCUGAGAAACCUGUAGGGUCUCAACUGUUUGGGCAUUCCAAGAAGGAAGCUUCUGAUGGCGCCUCCAAAUCUUCUACUUCCAAGCAGCCUACAAGAAAGGCUGCACCAAAGCCGCAGGAACCCAAGAAGAAGGGGAAAGGUGCAGGGAAAGCAGCAUCAAAGAAGUGAUCAAAAUUAAUAUUAAUUGCACGUUGGGUUUUUCCUUUUACUUUUAUAUAUAUAUAUAUAUAUAUAUAUUAUACACAUGUUAUCUUGUGUUUUUCUUGUCUACCAGUGUAAUCAUGUGGGAACUCGGUGUCCUCUGAUCAAAUAAAAAAAA